rnacentral:rRNA from 1 species
UGCUUAACACAUGCAAGUCGAACGGCAGAGCGGGGAGCUUAUGCUCCCUGGCGGCGAGUGGCGGACGGGUGAGUAAUACGUAGGAAUUCCACCUUUUAUAGAGGGGGACAAACCCGGGGAAACUCGGGCUAAUAACUGCAUGAUCUCUAUGGAGUAAAGCGGGGGAUCUUCUGACCCUCGCGCCAUAAGAUGAGCCUAUGUCGGAUUAGCUUGUUGGUGGGGUAAUUGCCUACCAAGGCGACGAUCCGUAGCUGGUCUGAGAGGAUGAUCAGCCACACUGGGGACUGAGACACGGCCCGGACUCCUACGGGAGGCAGCAGUGGGGAAUCUUGACAAUGGGGAAACCCCAUCCAGCAAUGCCGCGUGUGUGCAGAAGGCCCUCGGUUGUAAAGCACUUUCAGUAGGGAAGAAAUUUCGCAGUAAUAUACUUGAGCGUUGACGUUACCUACAGAAGAAGCACUGGCUAACUCUGUGCCAGCAGCCGCGGUAAUACAGAGGCGAGUUAAUCGGAAUCACUGGGCGUAAAGAGCGCGUAGGUAUAUUGCCGGAUGUGAAAGCCCUAGGCUUAACCUAGGAACUGCACUCGAUACUGGAUAUCUCGAGGGUAGAGUGAAGUGGCACUUGCGUAGCGGUGAAAUGCGUAGAUAUCGGAAAGAACAAUUGCGGCGAAGGCGGCUUCCUGACCAAUACUGACACUGAGGCAGCAAGCAAACAGGAUUAGAGACCCUGGUAGCCCACGCCGUCAAUUACGAGAACUAGCUGUUGGAGAGUUUACUUUCUAGUAAAGAAGCUAACGCGUUAAGUUCUCCGCCUGGGAGCAUACCGCAAGGUUAAAACCUCAAAGAAAUUGACGGGGGCCCGCACAAGCGGUGGAGCAUGUGGUUUAAUUCGAUGCAACGCGAAAACCUUACCUACCCUUGACAUCCCUCAGAACUUGUCAGAAAUGACUUGGUGCUCAAACUGAGUGACAGGUGCUGCAUGGCUGUCGUCAGCUCGUGUCGUGAGAUGUUGGGUUAAGUCCCGUAACGAGUGCAACCUCGUCCUGGUUGCCAGCGGUUCGGUCGGGAACUCUGCUGAGACUGCCGGUGAUAAACCGGAGGAAAGGUGGGGAUGAUGUCAGUCAUCAUGGCCCUUACGGGUAGGGCUACACACGUGCUACAAAUGGCAGGCAUGUAUAUUGCCAAACCAUAAGGUGGAGCCAAUCCCAAAAACUGCUCUUAGUCCGGAUUGAAGUCUGCAACUCGACUUCAGGAGCUGGAAUGCUAGUAAUCGCGAAUCAGAAUGUCGCGGUGAAAUACGUUCUCGCCUUGUACACACCGCCCGUCACACCAUGGGAGUGAAUUGUACCAGAAGCGGUAGGCUAACCUUCAGUGGAGGCCGCUCACCACGGUGUGGUUCAUGACUGGGGUGUAGUCGUAACAAGGUAACC